UACGAAGGGGGCUAGCGUUGUUCGGCAUUACUGGGCGAAAAGCGCGGAUAGGCGGGCCGUUAAGUCGGGGGUGAAAGCCCAGAGCUCAACUCUGGAACUGCCUUCGAUGCUGGCGGCCUGGAGCAUGAUAGAGGCGAGUGGAAUUGCGAGUGUAGAGGUGAAAAUCGUAGAUUAUCGCAGGAACACCAGUGGCGGAGGCGACUCGCUGGCUCCUUGCUGACGCUGAGGCGCGAAAGCGUGGGGAGCAAUCAGG
rnacentral:rRNA from 1 species